ensembl:misc_RNA
UUAACUUCUUAAUCAUAAAAAUUGCUCUCUAAAGAAGUACACUGGAAACAUCCGGAUGUGGGGUUAUAAUUAAAAACAAAGCAAAACAGCCUCCCUUAAAAGAAGUGAAAUGCUUAAUUCAAACUUACUGGAUAGUUGAUAAUGAAAGUGAAAAUGCUGGCAUCUAUAGAUAUUGUAAAGUCUUGGGAUUUGAAUUUUAUCACUGACCAUCUGG